rnacentral:sRNA from 1 species
CUGUCCCGCCACGUGGAACACCCCCCGUCGAGAGCCCCCCGGCGGCUACGCUGGCCUGGUGCGCCCUCCGGGAGGAGGGCGCAAAGCCGACAGCCGUCGCACCUCAGGGAGCUCACCCAUG